UACGUAGGGGGCAAGCGUUGUCCGGAAUCAUUGGGCGUAAAGCGCGCGUAGGCGGCCCGUUAAGUCCGCUGUGAAAUCCCAGGGCUCAACCCUGGGAUGGCGGUGGAUACUGUCGGGCUCGAGUCCGGAAGAGGAGUGUGGAAUUCCUGGUGUAGCGGUGAAAUGCGCAGAUAUCAGGAGGAACACCGGUGGCGAAGGCGGGUCUCUGGGCAGGAACUGACGCUGAGGAGCGAAAGCGUGGGGAGCGAACAGG
rnacentral:rRNA from 1 species